rnacentral:tRNA from 1 species
ACCUGGAUGGCUCAGUCGGUUAGGCAUCUGACUUCGGCUCAGGUCAUGAUCUCAUGGCUUGUGGGUUCGAACCCCACAUCAGGCU